GCCAAUGAGCUUCGCGCAGCCUAAUGACGUCAGAGGCGCCGGCAGUUCUAUUUGCAGGCAAAGUCAGUGUAUACCAGGAUUUCAUCCAGGAAAACCUUAAACAAGGAGCCAGUUUGCACCUUUCUUGCUCCUUUUCAGUCAUCACCCUGACCCAUCUCAGACAAGCGAGAAAGCACUUCAAAAGAUAAAGAGCUUGGUUCCUAAGAGAGCUGCUGGCCAGAGUGUGAACUUGCUAAUGAAGGAUCUGCACAAAAGUAACUUUCUCUUCCUUACAGCUGUAUUUCAAGCUGAACAAACUAUUCAGAUCUAUUCCCCCUCUCUCCCUCCCUCUUUCCCCUGUCUCUUUCUCUCAGCUGAUCCAUAGCCUCUCUCUGGGUUAUGAAGUAUGCAGUAAACUGCUCUUUCUUUUUUGGUC